AGAGUUUGAUCAUGGCUCAGAGCGAACGCUGGCGGCAGGCCUAACACAUGCAAGUCGAACGGACCCUCCGGGGUUAGUGGCGGACGGGUGAGUAACACGUGGGAACGUGCCUUUAGGUUCGGAAUAGCUCCUGGAAACGGGUGGUAAUGCCGAAUGUGCCCUUCGGGGGAAAGAUUUAUCGCCUUUAGAGCGGCCCGCGUCUGAUUAGCUUGUUGGUGAGGUAAUGGCUCACCAAGGCUACGAUCAGUAGCUGGUCUGAGAGGAUGACCAGCCACAUUGGGACUGAGACACGGCCCAAACCCCUACGGGAGGCAGCAGUGGGGAAUCUUGCGCAAUGGGCGAAAGCCUGACGCAGCCAUGCCGCGUGGAUGAUGAAGGUCUUAGGAUUGUAAAAUCCUUUCACCGGGGACGAUAAUGACGGUACCCGGAGAAGAAGCCCCGGCUAACUUCGUGCCAGCAGCCGCGGUAAUACGAAGGGGGCUAGCGUUGCUCGGAAUUACUGGGCGUAAAGGGCGCGUAGGCGGACAGUUAAGUUGGGGGUGAAAGCCCGGGGCUCAACCUCGGAAAUGCCUUCAAUACUGGCUGUCUUGAGUACGGGAGAGGUGAGUGGAACUCCGAGUGUAGAGGUGAAAUUCGUAGAUAUUCGGAAGAACACCAGUGGCGAAGGCGACUCACUGGCCCGUUACUGACGCUGAGGCGCGAAAGCGUGGGGAGCAAACAGGAUUAGAUACCCUGGUAGUCCAA
rnacentral:rRNA from 1 species